rnacentral:lncRNA from 8 species
GAGUAAUACUAUGGUCCAUAUAUGGGUUAAAAUCUCAAAGGGGUCCAUAUUAUCUAAUAUCCUUUUGUAUCCCCACAGGAGUCCUGAGUGGCAUCAGAACCCUGGUCAAUGAGCAUCAGGGAUACAAAGUGGAGCUUCAGCAUCUGAAGUCAGACCUGGAGGAGCUCCAGGAGAGAGAAGCAAAGUCCAGAGAGUUGCAGGAGCUACUGAGCAUUACCAGAGAGGAGCUGGUACAGCAGAGACAGCAGGUUGGCUCCCACACACACAUACAUGCUUGCGGGCACUCACGCACACUUAAACACACUCACACACACUCCAUAUCUAUUAAAAACGGAUAUAAAAAUGCAUGUACAUGACUGGGAAAGUGGAUUCAAUAGCAAUGCUUUGUUGACAUCCACGAAAAGACGCACAUCUUUAUGUCCCCUUACUUCCAUUGUAGAUGACUGUGGCACAGCAUGAAGAAGAGGCCAGGAAUAAGGAGUUGGAGGAGCUAAAGGGGGAGUUGGAGGCACUCAGACAUGCCCAGACUAAACUGCAGCAGGAGGCACAGACCCAGGAGGCUGAGUGGUGCACCAGGCUGGAGGAGGCGGGCAAGAGGGAGAAGGAGUGGCAGGAUAAGGUGAAGGAGGUCUUGGAGGAGGAGAAGGAGCGCUACGGGGUCUGGGAGGCCGAGUACAGGGAGCAGGUGCGGCAGCACGCACACACCAUCGUGGCCCUGGAGCAGCGCUGGGUCCAGAGCAGACAGAGAGCCCAGGAGGUGGAGGAGGAGAGGGACGCACUGAUUGGACAGCUGAGAGGUGAGGGGGGUGGGGGGGUUCAAAGGAGUGGACUGUCUGGCUGUCUGGCUGUCUGGCUGUCUGGCCGUCUGGCCGUCUUGCCGUCUGGUUGGUCUUGUUCUUCUAGGAGGACCCUGGAAGCCUGGGGGAAGAAAAUGGCAUCUGGAUACAGGGCAUCUCUGUGCUUUAACAACAAAUAAUUGGGCAACUUUUGCACCAAAAAAUGUCUGAGUGAGGGAAAUGCUGUAAAUUAAGAGGACUGUAUUUUGAAAGAUGAGACGUUGAGGAUUAUAAUAAAUACCUUUUUAUGUCCUACAAGUAAGCCAAACACCCGUGUCCAAAUGUGCACUUCACAUUUCCAUAUCAUAAAACUCAUGUCAGAUACAGUGUCAACGUUUAUGAUCACUAUGUUUUGAUACCCUGGGUUGUUCUGAACAGAAUGAGCCUAUUGUUGUGUAUUGUAAAGAAAAUGUGCCACUGAACACGCACGAAUGCACGCAGGAAUCCUUUCUAUGCGCACUAAAAUUAAGAUCUGUUUCUCUGAAUUGCCCUGUGAAAGUCUAGCACUGUAAGAUCGUGUUUUAUAACUUAGCUAGGGAUGUUGACAAUAGAACAAGCUUGAUGCCCACAUGACGCAGACUGAGAUUUAUAAUGGUCUGUUUUAGGACAACCCUGCCAUCACACAAUUACAACAACAGUAAUUGUGUGAUGGCAGGGUUGUGUUCCAAAUGAAACAACUACCAGUGUACUGAUAUUUCAGACUCUUCUAUGAGUUAUAUAAGUGCAUUGAAAUUGCUUAGGAACUGUGCACACUUUGGAGAGGUGUGUGGCCACAUGGAGACGCCAGUUAGUCCUCUCAAUCAAACCCAUAGUAGUUUUUUUGUCUUACGUUGCACCUACCCCACAUUUUCCAGGAAUACUUGUAUUUUCAGAUUUCGUUAUCAACAAAUGCGGCGUAUUGCGCAGUAAGUGUAAAAUGCACGUAAAAUCACCAGUGUAAUAUUUGGAUUCAGUCAUGUGUUAGGUGAAUUGUUGUGUCCUCACCUUUAGUCUAAUAAUUUUCCCAUAAUCUCCAAACUGUUCCCUUUCAAUUGCUACCAUGGUUAUGCAUAUGCUUUUCAUAUUUCUUCUGAAAGAAACAUUUCAAUUUAGCCCUAUCCUUAUAUAGUGCCUUCAGAAAGUAUUCACACCCCUUGACAUUUCCACAUUUUGUUGUGUUACAGUUGAGAUUUUGUGUCACUGACCGACACAAUACCCCACAGUGUCAAAGUGGAAUUAUGUUUUUAGAAAUGUUUACAAAUGAAUAAAAAUGUAAAGCUAAUAAGUAUUCAACCACUUUUUUUGGGCAAGCCUAAAUAAGAGUAAAGCGUACUUAACAAGUCACAUUAUAAGCUACAUGGACUCACUCUGUGUGCAAUAAUAGUGUUAAAUAUAUUUUUUAUUAUACAAAAAUUAUGCAGAUAUUGAAUGUUCCUUUGAGCAUGGUGAAGUUAUUAAUUACACUUUGGAUGGUGUAUCAAUACACCCAGUCACUACAAAGAUGCAGGCGUCCUUCCUAACUAAGUUGCCAUAGAGGAAGGAAACCACUCAGGGAUUUCACCAUGAGGCCAAUGGUGACUUUAAAACAGUUACAGAGUUUAAUGGCUGUGAUAGGAGGAACUGUUACUCCACCAUUCUUAGCUAAAUCACAGAGUGAAAAGAAGGAAGCCUGUACAGAAUAAAACAUUUUCCAAAACAUGCAUCCUGUUUGCACGAAAGCACUAAAGUAAAACUGCAAAAAAUGUGGCAAAGAAAUGAACUUCAUGUCCUGAAUACAAAGUGUUAUGUUUGGGGCAAAUCCAACACAACACAUCACUGAGUACCACUCUUCAUAUUUUCAAGCAUGGUGGUGGCUGCAUCAUGUUAUGGUUAUGCUUGUCAUCGGCAAGGACUAGGGAGUUUUGGGGGAUAAAAAUAAAUGGAAUAGAGCUAAGCAACAGGCAAAAUCCUAUUGGAAACCUGGUUCAGUCUGCUUUCCCUCAGACACUGGGAUACAAAUUCAUCUUUCAGUAGGACAAUAACCUUAAACACAAGACCAAAUAUACACUGAAUAUACAAAGAAUAAGGUGCAAAUAUUUUACAAUCCAGGUGGGCAAAGCUCUUAGAGACUUACCCAGAAAGACUCACAGCUGUAAUCGCUACCAAACAUGCUUCUACAAAGUAUUGUAGGGAGGUGAAUAUUUAUGUACAUUUCUCUAUUAAAUUUUCAAUAAAUUUGCUACAAUUUCUAAAAACAUUUGUUCACUCUAUCGUUAUGGUAUAUUGUGUGUAGAUGGGUGAGAAAAUAAUACAUUGAAUCAAAUUUGAAUUCAGGCUGUAACAUAACAAAAUGUGGAAUAAGUCAAGUGGUAUGAAUACUUUCUGAAGGCACUGUUGGUCAGUUCCCACAAGUCUAAAGUAAACAGCAAUGGACACAGUAGUGUGCUUAAUGCAAGGUAGUGCCAUUUUAUGUCACUAGAUGACAGUCACGUGUAAUGCAACGCUAAAAAGCAAUGCUAGAAGCACAUGUUUUCCUCAAUUACGUUACACUUUGCAGUGAAAUGCCAGAGAAUGUAUUAUCAAUGCAUAGUUACACUUGGUGUUACUGGGUGUGAAAUAAACUCAGUAACACUUUACUUAUUCAAAAUUCAAUGCAAAUAACUUUUAUUUCCUGUGAGGGAGCUACAUGUGUGGUGACGAAUUGGUACAUUCAAGACACAUACAGUGGUGUGUAUUCAUGGAUGCCAAGGGAAGCCAGGCUUCCCCAAAUAUUUGAC